rnacentral:snoRNA from 1 species
GAGUGAUGAUGUUUUAAACCUAUUCCAUUUCUGAAGCAAUCUGUGGAAAAAAAUAACUGAACUC